AACCAUAGAAACCUGCGGAGUACCUGCGGAAGGAUCAUUACAGAGUUGCAAAACUCCCUAAACCAUUGUGAACGUUACCUAAACCGUUGCUUCGGCGGGCGGCCCGGGUCCUUCCCGGCGCCCCUCGGCCCUCGCGGGCGCCCGCCGGAGGUAAACCAAACUAUUGCAUUGUAUGGCCUCUCUGAGUCUUCUGUACUGAAUAAGUCAAAACUUUCAGCAACGGAUCUCAGAUCGGAAGAG
rnacentral:misc_RNA from 1 species